GAUGAACGCUGGCUGUGUGCCUAAUACAUGCAUGUCGAGCGAAGUUCUUCGGAACUUAGCGGCAAAUGGGUGAGUAACACGUACUCAACGUACCUCUUAGAUUGGGAUAGCAGUUGGAAACAACUAUUAAUAACAAAUACGUAUAAUUUUCGCAUGAAGAUUAUAUAAAAGUAGCGUUUUGCUACACGUAAGAGAGCGGGGGUGCGUAACAUUAGUUAGUUGGGUGAGGUAAUGGCUCACCAAGACGAUGAUGUUUAGCGGGGUUGAGAGACUGAACCGCCGACACUGGGACUGAGAUACGGCCCAGACUCCUACGGGAGGGCAGCAGUAGGGAAUAUUCCACAAUGAACGAAAGUUUGAUGGAGCGACACAGCGUGCAGGAUGAAGGCCCUAUGGGUUGUAAACUGCUGUGGAAGAGAAGAAAAAACCGAGGAGGAAAUGCCUUGGUCUUGACGGUAUCUUAUUAGAAAGCAACGGCUAACUAUGUGCCAGCAGCCGCGGUAAUACAUAGGUUGCAAGCGUUAUCCGGAAUUAUUGGGCGUAAAGCGUCUGUAGGUUGUUUGUUAAGUCUGAUGUUAAAUUUUGGGGCUCAACCCCCAACACGCAUUGGAUACUGGCAUACUAGAGUUAUGUAGAGGUUAAUGGAAUUCCUUGUGAAGCGGUGGAAUGCGUAGAUAUAAGGAAGAACACCAAUAUGGCGAAGGCAGUUAACUGGGCAUACACUGACAACUGAGAGACGAAAGCAGUGGGGAGCAAACAGGAUUAGAUACCCUGGUAGUCCACGCCCUAAACGAUGAUCAUUAGCUGAUGGGGAACUCAUCGGCGCAGCUAACGCAUUAAAUGAUCCGCCUGAGUAGUACGUUCGCAAGAAUAAAACUUAAAGGAAUUGACGGGGGAUCCGCACAAGCGGUGGAGCAUGUGGUUUAAUUUGAGGAUACGCGUAGAACCUUACCCACUCUUGACAUCUUCUGCAAAGCUAUAGAGAUAUAGUGGAGGUUAACAGAAUGACAGAUGGUGCAUGGUUGUCGUCAGCUCGUGUCGUGAGAUGUUCGGUUAAGUCCUGCAACGAGCGCAACCCUUGUCCUUAGUUACUAACAUUAAGUUGAGCACUCUAAGGAGACUGCCCGAGUAAUUGGGGAGGAAGGUGGGGACGACGUCAAAUCAUCAUGCCUCUUACGAGUGGGGCAACACACGUGCUACAAUGGUCGGUACAAAGAGAAGCAAACUGGUGACAGGGAGCAAACCUCAAAAAACCGAUCUCAGUUCGGAUUGUAGUCUGCAACUCGACUACAUGAAGUCGGAAUCGCUAGUAAUCGUAGAUCAGCUACGCUACGGUGAAUACGUUCUCGGGUCUUGUACACACCGCCCGUCAAACCAUGGGAGCUGGUAAUGCCCGAAGUCGGUUUAUAAACAAACUGCCUAAGGCAGGACUGGUGACUGGGGU
rnacentral:rRNA from 2 species